rnacentral:rRNA from 1 species
AUUGAACGCUGGCGGCAGGCCUAACACAUGCAAGUCGAGCGAGCGGCGGACGGGUGAGCAAUGUAUGGGGACUGCCCGAUAGAGGGGGAGAACUACUGGAAACGGUAGAUACUACCGCAUACUAUCGGAUAACCCAUAUGGGAUUAGCUAGUAGGUGAGGUAAUUGCUCACCUAGGCGAUGAGACCUAGCUGAUCUGAGAGGAUGAUCAGCCACACUGGGACGGAGAAACGGCCCAGACUCCUACGGAGGCAGCAGUGGGGAAUAUUGCACCAUGGGCGCAAUCCUGAUGCAGCCAUGCCGCGUGUAUGAAGAAGGCCCUAGGGUUGUAAAGUACUUUCAGUCGAGAGGCGUUACCGACAGAAGAAGCACCGGCUAACUCCGUGCCAGCAGCCGCGGUAAUAC